rnacentral:tRNA from 1 species
CGCAAUAGCUCAGUCGGUAGAGCACGUCAUUCGUAAUGACGGGGUCGGGGGUUCGAAUCCCUCUUGCGGC